CAUGGGUAGUCCGCACGAGCGCACCCUCAUUUUUAUUUGCCUUAUGGAACUCUAGAAAGACUGCCGGUUAUAAACCGGAGGAAGGCGGGGAUGACGUCAAGUCAGCAUGCCCCUUACACCCUGGGCUACACACGUGCUACAAUGGGUGAGACAAUGAGAUGCAACUCUGUGAAGAUAAGCUAACCUAUAAACUCACUCUAAGUUCGGAUUGUAGGCUGCAACUCGCCUACAUGAAGCUGGAAUCGCUAGUAAUCGCUGGUCAGCAUACAGCGGUGAAUUCGUUCCCGGGCCUU
rnacentral:rRNA from 1 species